CCCUUACCUAGGUCUUCAAAAACCAUGAUUCCCAUUUCCCUAGGUAAUAAAAAUGACGUAAGCAAGACGACUAAACAACCGGGAGGGACCUUGGUCUUAUCGUUAUCUCGAGGGGGGGGGCAGCCACCCUUAUAACUGGCUUUCUUCAUGGUUCUCUAAAAAUUAAGGCUUUCCUUGCGAGACGAGAAUCUUCAUCUGAAUCAUGAGUAAGUUAUAUUUUCCUUUUUUCCCCGUACUUCUCAUUUAUAAUUUAUUUUCAUAUUUGCACUAUAUGUCUUAGUUUAUAUAUAUUUAUACUACUUGAAAAGCGGUUUACUGUACUUCCAACUUCUUAAUAUCAUUACAGUUCUACUGUCCUGCAUAUCCUACAAUUCUGUUUUUCAUAGAGUUUCUCUAUUACUAUAAGAUUCUAUUAAAGUUAUUCAUGUGUGUGUAUGAGAAAGAGAGAGUGUGUGCGUAUGUUGUGUCUACUUGCCCGCCCUUGACUGUACGAGCGUGUGUGUGUGUGUGUUUUAGCACUCCUCAGCUCGUACACUUCUCUCGACUAUUUCGACUAAUAACCCAUAAAGAUCUUUAAAGUGUUUUACCAAUUUAUCCACUUCUGACUAAAACCGCUUCUGUAUGUCUAGGUGCCGGUGCCCGUCGUCAGUCCCUUCUCUCACCGUUACUGGACCUGGAUCUGGACCUCCCUUAUGUUUAUUUUAUGACAUUUUUUAUCCACAACACUGACCACAAAGUAAAAGUCCUGCCAUGGCCAUCCCAAUUCCCUUACUCGAAACCCAUAGAAAACCUGUGCGUAUUUAUUUAUUUUAUAAACCUGUGUUGUGUUUGCAAUUGUUUGAUAUCCAUGAGAGCAGAGCAUUUUUUUAAGUAAAAGAUCAAAAGGUUAAACAAUGAAAACAGUUUUUCACAGCCUUCUUUGCUCAUAUUUACCAAGGGUUCCAAUAUUAGUGGAGGGAACUGUAUGUAUGUACACAUUCAUGUUGGGUGGCAAUGGGAUUUCUGGAAUGAAUGAAUCAGGUAGAAAAUGAUACUUUAUAACCUACAUUAUAAAAAUUGCUUUUGCUUCUGUCACUUUUAACAGAUGUCAUGAAAGAUGUAAUCAAAAGCUGUGGCCUGUGUUUCCUGUACUCUGAAGCAACAUUUUCCAUAUAGACCUAGACACACUCACAUCUAUCACACGCAAGGGUGAACAGUUUAAAACUUUGUGUUAAACAUGUUUUCAGGGACGCCAUUUUGCCUUCUUCUAGCUCUUCCUUUUUACUACUCUACAAACAUUGGUGCCUUGGACAUUACCGUGUCUAGUGGGGAUACUGCCUUUCUACCAUGUCCUUUACCGUUCAACUACACUGACUUUAUGAGGAUUGGAGUUAAGUGGGAAAAGGAUGGAGGGUCAAUUUUAUGUACAUAUUAUAUUCAGAAUAAUGCAAUUCAUGACCAUAACUGCAAACCUCGGUUCAAAGUAAAUACAGAACCUUUAGGGCUGAAUAUAAUAGGUGUUGAAAGCAGUGAUGCUGGUCUUUAUAAAUGUUUGAUGAUCAGAUUAUUACCACCACCUUCAGAGGAGAGAUCAGUAACCCUGAGGCUUAAAGUUAAUGUUCUAUCAUCUAUUACCUUGCACCUGACGAACAGCACUAAUGUCUCCUGUGUGGAGCUGCUCUGCUCUCUGCAGGGUUUGAGACCACAGCAGGUGAACUUCACAUGGACCAGAGCAACUCAGUUUCUUCACCAUCAUCCAGAGUCCAGAAGCAUGAACAGUACACUGAUGCUCUGCAAGCCGAACUGGACAGACAGAGAAACACUCACUUGUCACGCCAGUUACUCACACAACCACAUACGCUACAGCAAGAGCAUAACACUCCCAUGCAACUCAGACAGAGUGGCAAUCAAACAAAACCCAAGUGUGAAGAAGAACUUAUCUGCAACUCCAAGAAAUGCAAGUUUUUGUUCACAUUUAACUUAAUUAAUAAUUUUGUUAAACCUUUCAAAAUUAUAUUAUUUAAUUUUUGCAACAGACAGCAGUAACUUCUUUAACGUGCAGUUUGGCUUAAAGGCAAUCAGUUCAGUUGUGCGGUUUAUAGUUAUUGGGACCCUUUUUGCCUCAUUGAUUGGCACUGCUUUGUUCUUCGAAGUUUACUAUCAAUGUCUCGCUGCACGCCGUCGUCAGUGAUGGGAUUGUUAUAUCUGAACUUGUCUCACCUUCUCAGGUUUACUCAAUCAACAACACAAACUGAAACAAAUGUAUCUGCUACAAACAAAGAGGUUUUGAUGACGUUAGAAAUGCCAUUACUCUGGUGUAACACCAGAUAUUACUCCUUGCUGCCAGCAGAAGUCACAAUCCCCCAAAUUCUACUGCAAUCUCUGCCAGCCACUUCUAGGCCACAGUAUACUGUAUAUACCCAUCAAGUUCAGCAACACAAAGUCUUGCCAACCUUGUGACUGUGUAAAUUAUGAACGCUGUAGUUCUGCUGAUUUUGUAUGUUGUGUCUAACUGCUCUCUGUUUAUUCUUGAGCUUACCCUUUACCCUGGUUAUACUGUCUUUUUGUGUUUUCUCUGCUUGUGUUUUGAGUGUUUAUCUAUUCUGAGCUCGGUUUGUGAUUUUAAGUUUCUAUUCCUCGACUUUAUAAUAAAGUGCCUCUGAACAUGUUAGAAUAUACUCUCGGUCUGAAUCUAGUUUUUUACUGAAGAGCUUGCUUCUUAUUGUCGAUCUAAUGUAGGUUUGGAAAUCUAAAGUCAGCUGUUACUUAUUAACUGGGUUAAGCUUAUAUUUACUAAACUCAAGUUACCACAGCAAUACAUAGAACCAUCUCUGUGGAAAACAAAAUAUUAUAGUGGACUUCCUUGAACAAUUACAUCACAGAGUAUGCGUAAGCAUGUCUUGGUUGUGCACAAUCUAGAGCCUCCUGUCAUCUGCCCACAAUGCAGUGUGAAACUACCCUUGCCACAAUGUUCCUCAUUCCACAUAGUCAUUACCCUUAUCACAUGUCUGCCAGUAUCCCAAGGUUUCACCACAAUACUCAUCAUUGACUGUUACCCCUGCCAAUCCAGUUGAAGCUCUGGUAGACAGGAGUGGAUGAGGAUGAGUCAAUGGACCUCUGAAGUGGUACAUGUCUGAUUACAACAAACAGCUCUAGGACCAAAUUUCCAAAAGGACAAGAAAUGCAGACUGCAUCCACAGCUACACUCAGGCCAGAUGGUCUGGUUGUUCUUUUAUUAAAGCAAGUUAAGUCAAUGAUUCAAUAUUCCUUUGACAAUGUCAAUCCAGUUUCAAACCACCUUGAAUUACCAUCAUCCUUUAGAAUAGCCCCUACAUGUCACAAAGUAUCUGUGGUUAAAACUGUUUUCUUCUCCCUGGAGCAAGUUGUGGUUGAGUGUGAUCAAAUUAAAUGAAGACAGUAUGAAGGGUCUGUUUUUCUGUCACAGACUUCCUGUGUUCUCAUGAACUUUACAUUGCAAGUCUACCCCCGCGUGUAAAGAGUGAAAAGUUGCCACUAAACCUAUUUGUGUUGUUAUCUUAUGUGUCAUCUCAUGUAAUGUAAUAAUUGCACUUCUGUUGAUACACUUAAAAUAAGCUUGGUUUCAGAUCUCUGUCAAAUGGAAAGUGAUCCUAAGCUAUAAAAAUUUUGAUCUUCAUCAGUAAAAACAAGGUCAUUAAAAAUGUGCCCAGUGCUUCACAAUAUUGAAAAUAAUCAGAGAAAGAUAUAUGUAAUGUACCUUCUAUUUAAAGAAUAAAUGACCACUUUAGGCCUGUCUAUAAUAUAUAGAGGAUUAAUGUUUGAUUCAGCCCUUUUCUGGAGAUUCAAGUGAUUAAAUUUACAGAAUUUUUCUUGUAGAGUUUUUCAGAUUUUGCUGUACAGUAAAUGUGUCCUGUCAGAACCUCAUAUUAAGAUGUACCGUAGUUGACAUAGUUGUUUGGAUUAAAACAUUGCUAUUGAUGCUUGGAUUAACAAAAUUCAACACAGUUGUAGCUGUAAACAAACUGGUACUGAUUUUCAAACUGCUACUGCAUUUGACAAAAAGGAAACUGUAGCCACAGACUUGCCUUAGAGUUCACAGCUCGGUUUUAUUUCAGGAUGUAUAAUAUAGAAUGAUCACAGCAGUGGAUAUGAACAGGGUGCAUAUUCUGCAGUGUGAAAUGGUAUCAGUAGGGAAGUGCUGUUUUCUCUGGUCUGUGUGGAUGCUUCUAUUAUUUCCCUCAGCCAUAAACACACAGAAUUGCACUGAAUUGAAUACAACACAGACGGUUCAUCGGGGAAUGUCAGUCACAAUCAGCUGUCAUUACAGCACAAAUAGCAGUCUACAUUCUGUUGUAUAUUUCAGAAGAAAACAUUUACUGUGUUACUACCGCUUCAUAAAACAAUCCUGGAUUAAAGCAUCAUGUGAAAGCCACAUCAAAUUUAUUUGGUUUCAAGAAAAAGAGGAAAUAGCAUUUGAGCUGUUAAAUCUUCAAAUAAGUAAUUCUGGCAUUUACACCAUAACUGUGGAAGAGCAUGCACCACCUCCUUCAAGAUGUGUGGAGCAGAAGAGGAUAUUCAUUCAUGUAAUUGCACAUCCAUUAGUGUCUAUGUCAUAUGAAAAGGGGCCUGACAGAGCUCCCACAAUACUUUGUGCUUCUGAAGGCUUUUACCCUGCUGAUCUGCAGCAGGUCUGGUUGACAGAUGGAGAAUAUAUCAGUUACCUGAACCUUUCAUAAACAUCUCCAUAUGAAGAAAAUCUGAACACCUCUGACAUCAACUGGACCUAUAGAAACAACAAAGAUGGAUCCUACAGCCUCAUAUCGUACCUUCACCUGCCAUUACACACACUACAGAAAGUGAUGUACUACUGCUGGGUGAAUCACUCAACCCUGAGUCAACCCAUCACUGUUACCAUAUCCUCCACUGAGUGCACUGAGAGAGAAGAGAAAUUAACAGGUAUAUCUUUCUGAGUUUUUGAGAUUGUUCCAAACAUUGUAUUUAUAUAUAAUAGUAUUCGACUUGAUUUUUAGAUUUGUUUUCAGCAAUUGUCGGUAUCAGUUGCGGUGUGAUGGCUGGCAUAGGACUAAUCCUUUCAGACUGUUAUCAAUGUCUCAGAAGAAGACUUGAUUUGCAUUCUCCAGUAGGAGCUUCAUCAUUGCCCGAGCUUGUGUCCCAUUCUGCAGCGCAGACCCAGGUAUAUUCAACACUAGGAAACCAUCGGCCUGUUCCAUGUUCCAGCCGCGCCACAUCUCCCUCUCAAUGACACACUAGGAAAAACAGUUUGACAUCUGUACUAAAUAAAGGCAAAUCAUAUCUAUA